GAUGAACGCUGACAGAAUGCUUAACACAUGCAAGUCGAUGGGGAAGUGGUGCUUGCACCAUGGCAACCAUGGCGGACGGGUGAGUAACGCGUAAGGGACUUACCUGCAGGACUGGGAUAACAGGGGGAAACUCCUGACAAGACCGGAUAAUGUCAUGGAGCUGCAUGGCUUUAUGAUGAAAGGAGACGCCUGCGGAGAGCCUUGCGUCCUAUUAGCUAGUUGGUGAGGUAAUGGCCCACCAAGGCGAAGAUAGGUAGCCGGCCUGAGAGGGUGGACGGCCACAAGGGGACUGAGAUACGGCCCUUACUCCUACGGGAGGCAGCAGUGGGGAAUAUUGGACAAUGGGGGCAACCCUGAUCCAGCAAUUCUGUGUGCACGAAGAAGGUUUUCGGAUUGUAAAGUGCUUUCAGCAGGGAAGAAGUAAGUGACGGUACCUGCAGAAGAAGCGACGGCUAAAUACGUG
rnacentral:rRNA from 1 species